GAAUGCAACCUGUCACACAGCAUGGAAUUUUCCAAAGCAGUUCUCGGCUGAGUGCAGGGGGCAGAUCUGCAUUUGUCUUCCUUUCAGCUUGACAUCUGGACACCCACACCAAGAAUGGGCCAGCUAUUUGAUAACAAAUGCAGUUUUUGUCUCUGCAAGCUGACCUCUCAGACAGGAUGAAUGCUUACUUAGUCUAGGAGUCGGUUUUUAGAAACCUUGAGGAUGCUGGCAUUCUCUGGGGUCCAUCUUUUUUAUUUUUUAAUUUUUUUGGUCUUUUUACCUGGGAACCUCCAUAUGCUGCGGGAGUGGCCCAAAGAAAUAACAAAAAGACAAAAUAAAUAAAUAAAUAUAGCCCAAAGACAAAGGAGUGUGAGGUGUGGUCUUGCCUUACACCUCUUGACCUGCUGAUUGGUUGGGGAAGAAUGGGGUCUUUGGAUACACUUGCUGAUUGGUUGGGGGCAUAUGUUGCCUCUCGAGGGGUGUGGUAGGAGUGGUCCACAGACCUUUUCUGGUCGGGGGCAGGAAGGAGUAGGCCAAAUUGCUGGGGUGAGGAGGUCCUUAGGAACUUUGUAACAAUUACAGUGAGACAGGUGGGAUGAUAAGAGUCUGGCAAGGCUGGAGGCUUUUGGAGUUUUAUCUCCUUGGAGAAGCCUUGAGGUCCCACACCCACCCUCGGCUGCCUCCUCUUUGAGUUCUUAGAGUUAAGGUCUGUACCGCUGUGAGACUGAAUUCCAUGACAUUUAGAGACUAUUUCUCAUCUUUUUUUUUUUUUUGGGGGGGGAUACUUUAGUGCCUCUCCCACCUGUGGGCCAGCAGCAUCAGCAUCACCCAGGAACUUUUUAGAAUAUCUAAUCUUGGUCCUGACUAACUGAGUCAGAACUUUCAUCUUAACAAGAUCCCAGGUGCUUGCUAUGGACACGAAAAACUGAGCAAUGGUGCUCUGCUCAGUAGCACUUUUCAUGCAAUACAUGUUAAGUAGUAAUAAAGAUAAUAAAGCCUAAUAAAGCAUGUGAGGCAGGUAAUUGUAUGUCACUGAUAGAAUGCCAUCUACCCAGUUUUUUCUUGCCAUCUCUUCAAUAUUCUUCAGUCAUCUCAGAAUCCUAGAAGUGAUGGUAAUUUGAUCCUUCUGAAUACAGAUGAAGUUGGUAGUUUCAGAAUUACUUGCCCA
rnacentral:lncRNA from 9 species